UACAGAGGUCCCAAGCGUUGUUCGGAUUCACUGGGCGUAAAGGGUGCGUAGGUGGCUUGGUAAGUUCGAUGUGAAAUCUCCGGGCUUAACCCGGAAAUGGCAUUGAAUACUAUUGAGCUGGAGGUUUGGAGGGGGGGACUGGAAUUCUCGGUGUAGCAGUGAAAUGCGCAGAUAUCAGGAGGAACACCGGUGGCGAAGGCGG
rnacentral:rRNA from 1 species